rnacentral:rRNA from 1 species
GACGAACGCUGGCGGCGUGCUUAACACAUGCAAGUCGAACGGAAAGGCCCUGCUUUUGUGGGGUGCUCGAGUGGCGAACGGGUGAGUAACACGUGAGUAACCUGCCCUUGACUUUGGGAUAACUUCAGGAAACUGGGGCUAAUACCGGAUAGGAGCUCCUGCUGCAUGGUGGGGGUUGGAAAGUUUCGGCGGUUGGGGAUGGACUCGCGGCUUAUCAGCUUGUUGGUGGGGUAGUGGCUUACCAAGGCUUGACGGGUAGCCGGCCUGAGAGGGUGACCGGCCACAUUGGGACUGAGAUACGGCCCAGACUCCUACGGGAGGCAGCAGUGGGGAAUAUUGCACAGUGGGCGGAAGCCUGAUGCAGCAACGCCGCGUGCGGGAUGACGGCCUUCGGGUUGUAAACCGCUUUCGCCUGUGACGAAGCGUGAGUGACGGUAAUAGGUAAAGAAGCACCGGCUAACUACGUG